rnacentral:lncRNA from 1 species
AGAGUUAGUCAAUGCCUGAUCUGUAGCGUGUAGCGUACGUAGAAUUUUGUGUGAGCAAUGCCAACUUAUUAUCAUCUCAGCUUAUACUUAGAGUUAGGAUUUGGAGUUGUAGAUGUUCUAAGAAUUUAGUCAUUCUCCCAAAUUAAUGUUGAUCUAUAAUAUAUGUACAUAAUUUUCAAUAUUCGUGUUUGAAUUUUUUCGACGAAGCGGUGUCGGAUAACAUAUCUUUGCCACUGCAUGAUUAGUAAAGACACGCACAUUUGGUUUCAAUGACCACGGAAUGAUAUUCCUUAUGGGGGAAAGGACUUGAGGUUUAAGAUAAAAGUCAGAUUCUG